rnacentral:rRNA from 1 species
UACGUAGGGCGCAAGCGUUAUCCGGAUUUACUGGGCGUAAAGAGCGCGCAGGCGGUCGUUCAAGUCGCGUGUGAAAGCCCCCGGCUCAACUGGGGAGGGUCACGCGAUACUGAUCGACUCGAAGGCAGGAGAGGGAAGUGGAAUUCCCGGUGUAGUGGUGAAAUGCGUAGAUAUCGGGAGGAACACCAGUGGCGAAGGCGACUUCCUGGCCUGUUCUUGACGCUGAGGCGCGAAAGCUAGGGGAGCAAACGGG